UAAAUAUUAAUAAUUUGUUUUAAAACUAGCUUUUGUUCAUGAGAUUUAAAGUCCGUCUCACUCCACAAACCAAGUGAGAAACCAAAAAAAUAAAACGCAUUUUCUCAAGUUAAUCUUUGCACCACUCUUGAUGGUUGUGUGUAUGUAGGUGGCGAGUGUAACAUUCGACUUGCUCUUGCUUCUGGUGUUAGGAUCAUACUUAAUAGUGCUUUUCAGCUUCCUCGUCAUCACAACUCGGGGUGUGGAUGACUUAAUAAGCUUAUUCCGCCGGCCUCCUUCCCGGAAAGUGAAAAUGGUUUAAGCUUUCCCUGCCGGAAUGUUACUUUACAUUCUUCUCAUCCGCGAUUCACUCAUCACAUUUGUUUGGUGAGUCGUUAGAAUCUGAAUCAUGAAGAGAAGAAGACUACGAAAUGAGUUUUGGCUCUGCCUUAACUCUUUCUUCUGUUGUAUGCCUCUGUUUAUGUGGCUUUAUUACUUGCCUUUCCAUGAGCUGCAAAGAAAAUAAAGAUCAAAUGUUGUAGUUUUUUAUUUUUUUGGUUAAAAUGAUUUUUUUUUCUCUCCAAGCAAAUUUGAAUCGAGAAAAUUUGACUCGCUUAA